GACGAACGCUGGCGGCGUGCCUAACACAUGCAAGUCGAGCGCUGAAGGAUUGUACUUGUGCCCACUGGAUGAGCAGCGGACGGGUGAGUAACGCGUGGGGCAUCUGCUUUUUAUUGGGGGACAAUAAUUGAAAACGAAUUCUAAUACCGCAUAAAAACUUUAAACACUGGUUGUAAGGUUGAAUGAUGCAAUUGCAUCACUCAUAGACGAUUGCGCGUUGGAUUAGGUAGUUGGUGGGGGGAAGGCUCACCAAGGCGAAGAUACAUAGCCGACCUGAGAGGGUGGACGGCCACAUUGGGACUGAGACCCGGCCCAAACUCCUACGGGGAGGAGCAAGAGGGAAACUUCGGAAAUGGGCGAAAAUCUGAACGAGCACCGACGGGGGAGUGAAGAAGGGUUUCGGGUCGGAAAAGUCUGUUGGUAGGGAAGAAAGUGGGUGAGAGUGGAAAGCUGAUGAAGUGACGGUAACUACACAAAAAGCAACGGCUAACUACGUG
rnacentral:rRNA from 1 species